AGCUCAGUGGUCCAAUGGUAAAGCGCUCGUCUCUGAACCAGAAGGUCCUGGGUUUGAUUCCCAACGGGGUCG
rnacentral:tRNA from 1 species